UACAGAGGUCUCAAGCGUUGUUCGGAUUCAUUGGGCGUAAAGGGUGCGUAGGUGGCGAGGUUAGUCAGGUGUGAAAUCUCGGGGCUCAACCCCAAGCCUGCACUGGAUACUGCCUCGCUUGAGUCCGGGAGGGGAGAGCGGAAUUCCUAGUGUAGCGGUGAAAUGCGCAGAUAUUAGGAAGAACACCGGUGGCGAAGGCGGCUCUCGUGGAACGGUACUGACGCUGAGACGCGAAAGCGUGGGGAGCGAACAGG
rnacentral:rRNA from 1 species